GGGGAAUUUUGGACAAUGGGCGCAAGCCUGAUCCAGCCAUGCCGCGUGCAGGAUGAAGGCCUUCGGGUUGUAAACUGCUUUUGUACGGAACGAAAAAGCUCUCUCUAAUACAGAGGGUGAAUGACGGUACCGUAAGAAUAAGCACCGGCUAACUACGUGCCAGCAGCCGCGGUAAUACGUAGGGUGCAAGCGUUAAUCGGAAUUACUGGGCGUAAAGCGUGCGCAGGCGGUGAUGUAAGACAGAUGUGAAAUCCCCGGGCUUAACCUGGGAACUGCAUUUGUGACUGCAUUGCUGGAGUGCGGCAGAGGGGGAUGGAAUUCCGCGUGUAGCAGUGAAAUGCGUAGAUAUGCGGAGGAACACCGAUGGCGAAGGCAAUCCCCUGGGCCUGCACUGACGCUCAUGCACGAAAGCGUGGGGAGCAAAC
rnacentral:rRNA from 1 species